GGGUUGGUAGCUUAAUCCGGCAAAGCGACAGUCCUGCAAACUGUUAAAUGUGAGUUCGAGUCUCACCCAAUCCA
rnacentral:tRNA from 1 species